UCACUAUGUCGUUUAUGUUGAAUAUAAAAGUAUAAAAUGAGGAAGAUUAUUUAUUAGCUUCCAUCUCCCUCCCUCGCCCGAAACGACGAGUUUAACUUGACCCACACGCACUUUGAUCCUUCCUUUGUAUUUCUCCUUCAACUGCGAACCGUGCUCGUUGAAUUUCACCGAUAGGAGGCACGUGGCGCUGGCAUUCCUUUCCGGAGAAGAUGACCAUCGACUUAGAUUCCAUCGCUCGCAAAGUCGAUGUUGACAAUCGCAUUCCCCUCCGUUAUUACUACCGUAUUGCCGAUAAUCUCCUCAAGCAGGCAAGUAUCUACAGGGAGGAGAAUAAUGUUGUUGACUUGUAUAUCAUUCUCCUUAGAUAUAUAAGUUUGCUGUCUGAAACCAUACCAUAUCAUCGAGAUUAUCAAGCUUCACAUCCUAGUGAAAAAGCAGCAUAUAAGAAGAGAUCGCUGUAUGUAUUGGAUGAGCUUGAAUCUUUGAAGCCUGAAUUUAAACGCCGGUUGAAAAAAUUGAAUUACUCGCGUGCAGAGGCUCCAUUGCCUGAAGAAAAUGACUUCAAUAAGGCUUCGCAGAGUUCAGUGAAUUCAUCUUUGGAAUGGCCGGCUGUUAAUAAAAGUUAUAACUCAAGCAUGGAUUUUAAACAGCCUGCUGAAUUGGGUUCCCACUCUUCAUGGAGUUAUAAUAAUAAUAAUAAUAUGUUAUCAUCAAAUUUUGUGCCCAUUGACAAGCAGUUUCAGAAAUUAUCUCUUAGUCUACCCCUUCCAAAGAAGGAGACUUUGUCCAGACACUCAUUUUUAGGACCAAAUGGUCUUCGGGGCCAAUGGCUUGGACCUAGAGCAGAAAUAAAGGUUCAAUAUCCAAGCAGUAGUGAUCUCAUGCAAACCAAAGACUCAAGCCUGAAUCAGGCUGGGCAAUAUGAUCAUGUGGUAGUUAAAGAUGAUGAUCAAGGACCAGCUACAUCCACAAUGGACUCAGUUCUUGCCUUGGAUGAUGGAAGAUGGUUGCAUCCUUCUGUUGAGUCCCAUCCUCCCGUUUUAACUGAAUCAAGGGAGGACCCCUUACAGUUGCUCAACAUCAAGCAACCUUUGCCUCCUCCUGUUCUUGCUCAGGUGUAUCCGGAAUGUGCCUCGAUUCCUCCUUCAAAAGUUGCAGAUCCAAGGCCUGGACCAGCUAAAUCUUCUCAGGAUUCUGGACUUGGUCCCUCUACCUAUCAACACCUACAUAUUCCUGUCAAAAUGAUGGAAGAUUUUUUGAGAUUAGCUUCAGAAAACACACGGAAGAACUUGGAGACAUGUGGUGUUCUUGCAGGGUCCCUGAAAAAAAGGGUUUUCCAUAUCACAACACUUAUAAUCCCAAAGCAGGAAUCAACUUCAGACUCGUGUCAAACAUUGAACGAAGAAGAAAUAUUUGAAGUUCAAGACAGCUUAUCACUUUUUCCUUUAGGUUGGAUACAUGAUUUGCUUGAGUUAGUUCCUACCAAAGAUCCCAUAAGCCAUAACAUGCUGAUGUUUUGAUUGUUGGAAUGAUGCAUCAAUAGCUUUUACCCCAUUAAUAGACACACCCAUCACAGACUUGUUUCAUGUCUUCCGUGGAUCUGCACACACAUUAUUCAUACCAGAUCAUGCUACCAGAGGCAAUUGCUAUUGUCAUGGCUCCUACAGAUACAACAAGUCCGCAUGGCAUAUUCCAUCUGUCUGAUCCAAGUGGUGUGUCUGUAAUUCGUAACUGUCAACAACGUGGAUUUCAUCCCCAUGAGGAGCCUUCGGAUGGAAGUCCAAUAUAUGAGCACUGCUCUCAUGUUUAUAUGAAUGCUAACUUGAAGUUCGAUGUCGUUGACCUUCGAGAGAGAUGAUUGAUUAGGAGUGUGGGCUCUCCUGAUAAACCUCUCUUCACAAAUUACAAGCACAGUGAUUUACUGUAUCUUUUUCUACCUGCCGCGAUGCUUAAAAUUGCAUUUGUAUAGGUGGAUUCUUUUGUAUUUAUGAACUAAGAGAGAAGUUAAUCGCCAAUCCCAUGAUUUUGUACUAUAUCUGUGGAAAGAGAGUUUUGUGUAAAUGCAGUAAUACAUACAUUAUACGCAGGUGAAGAGGUGAGAAAUGUAACAAAAUGACUUAAAUGUGAUAUAUCAUUUCAUUAAAUCUUAC